rnacentral:rRNA from 1 species
AUACGGAGGGGGCUAGCGUUGUUCGGAAUUACUGGGCGUAAAGCGCGCGUAGGCGGAUUGAUCAGUCAGGGGUGAAAUCCCGGAGCUUAACUCCGGAACUGCCUUUGAUACUGUCAAUCUUGAGUUCGAGAGAGGUGAGUGGAAUUCCUAGUGUGGAGGUGAAAUUCGUAGAUAUUAGGAAGAACACCAGUGGCGAAGGCGGCUCACUGGCUCGAUACUGACGCUGAGGUGCGAAAGCGUGGGGAGCAAACAGGAUUAGAUACCCUAGUAGUCC